UACGUAGGGUGCAGGCGUUAAUCGGAAUUACUGGGCGUAAAGCGUGCGCAGGCGGUUUGCUAAGACAGGUGUGAAAUCCCCGGGCUUAACCUGGGAACUGCGCUUGUUACUGGCAGGCUUGAGUGUGGCAGAGGGGGGGUGGAAUUCCACGUGUAGCAGUGAAAUGCGCAGAUAUCAGGAGGAACACCGGUGGCGAAGGCAGGUCUCUGGGCCAAGCUGACUGACCGCUGGAGAAGCGAAAGCAUGGG
rnacentral:rRNA from 1 species